rnacentral:rRNA from 1 species
GUGCAAUGGCAUAAGCUGGCUUGACUGCGAGAGUGACGGCUCGAGCAGGUGCGAAAGCAGGUCAUAGUGAUCCGGUGGUUCUGUAUGGAAGGGCCAUCGCUCAACGGAUAAAAGGUACUCCGGGGAUAACAGGCUGAUACCGCCCAAGAGUUCAUAUCGACGGCGGUGUUUGGCACCUCGAUGUCGGCUCAUCACAUCCUGGGGCUGAAGUAGGUCCCAAGGGUAUGGCUGUUCGCCAUUUAAAGUGGUACGCGAGCUGGGUUUAGAACGUCGUGAGACAGUUCGGUCCCUAUCUGCCGUGGGCGCUGGAGAAUUGAGGGGGGCUGCUCCCAGUACGAGAGGACCGGAGUGGACGCAUCACUGGUGUUCGGGUUGUCAUGCCAAUGGCACUGCCCGGUAGCUAAAUGCGGAAGAGAUAAGUGCUGAAAGCAUCUAAGCACGAAACUUGCCCCG